CCAGCCCUGCGCUGUGCGAUAGGAUCCAGGAUGUAUUGAACCACAAAACAAUACACAGGGAGCCGGUCACCUGUCGGCGUGGCCUUCGAGCCAGCCUCACACUGGCGCCCACUUGAGAAUGAUGGUUCUCAUUUACACCAGGUCCAACGGCAGAGGCGGGGUUUUU
rnacentral:other from 1 species